GAUGAACGCUAGCGGGAGGCUUAAUACAUGCAAGUCGAGGGGUAACAGGAAAACCUAGUUUUCGCUGACGACCGGCGCACGGGUGAGUAACGCGUACACAAUCUGCCUUUGAGUGGAGAAUAGCCCCGGGAAACUGGGAUUAAUGCUCCAUAGUAUUAUCGGAUCGCAUGGUUUGAUAAUUAAAGCAUUGCGCUCAAAGAUGAGUGUGCGUCCUAUUAGAUAGUUGGUGAGGUAACGGCUCACCAAGUCAGCGAUAGGUAGGGGGCGUGAGAGCGUGGACCCCCACACGGGUACUGAGACACGGACCCGACUCCUACGGGAGGCAGCAGUAAGGAAUAUUGGACAAUGGGGGCAACCCUGAUCCAGCCAUCCCGCGUGCAGGAUGACGGCCCUAUGGGUUGUAAACUGCUUUUAUUUAGGAAGAAACGCCUGGAUUUAUCCGGGCCUGACGGUACUAUUUGAAUAAGCACCGGCUAAUUCCGUGCCAGCCGCCGCCGUAACAC
rnacentral:rRNA from 1 species